rnacentral:tRNA from 1 species
GGGAUUGUGGCUCAGUGGUAGAGCACUUGCCUACCAUGCAUGAGGCACUGGGUUCAAUCCCCAGCACCA